UGGGAAACAGUCAUGUGGUAUGGGUGCAAGGGGAGCUGGGAAACGGAGUCCUGGGCUGGCCAUCUGCUCCUCCUUGUCCCCCAAAGGCAGCUCCACACUGUACAAGACAGCGAACAGGCGUUUGUGCUGAACUAGCUGCUUCUGGGCAGAAGAGGGGCCGCGUGAAACCACGCCGCGCAUCCGCUUUUGAACUCAGAGUUUGUGUGUGGGUUUCAGGGGAAGCUCAUUCACCUCGGAAGGGUUUGGAAAGGAGCUUGUCCCGAGAUUUUACCUGUGGGGAAAAUAUCUGAACAGGAAACCACUGAUCCACCGAAUUUCUUGUGUUUGUGUUUUUGAGGGCUUCCUCCCUCCGGCCCCGAGCUCUCUAUUAAAAUCUCUAUUAAAAUCUAAUUACGUCGGUCA